CAGUAGCCGCGGGAAUACAGAGGGUGCAAGCGUUAAUCGGAAUUACUGGGCGUAAAGCGCGCGUAGGUGGUUUGUUAAGUUGGAUGUGAAAGCCCCGGGCUCAACUUGGGAACUGCAUCCAAAACUGGCAAGCUAGAGUACGGUAGAGGGUGGUGGAAUUUCCUGUGUAGCGGUGAAAUGCGUAGAUAUAGGAAGGAACACCAGUGGCGAAGGCGACCACCUGGACUGAUACUGACACUGAGGUGCGAAAGCGUGGGGAGCAAACAGGAUUAGAUACCCCCGUAGUCCCUGUCUCUUAUAA
rnacentral:rRNA from 1 species